AGGACGCUCAUACUCCCUCUUCUUCCCUCAGCUUUCCCUGCGUACUCUCUCACCUCCUCAUUCUUCUUCUUCUUCAUCUGCUCUCUUUCUCUCUCCUAAAUCCCUUCUUUCUCCGCCUGAACCACCACCUUGAAUUCUGUCGCUGCCCUACCCCCUCCCAUCGUCAUCCCCGCAGUUCCUUCACUCCACCACACUCAAUUUUACAUCUUAUCUUUCGCUUCAAGAAAUUUGAAAGGGGAGACGUAAAAAAUGGGAACCCGAGAAGUGUACGAGGAGAAGCUUCGAACUGGAAAUGUGUAUCACCAUGAUCCCACCAUUAAUCCUGGCCUCGGCACCCCUCGCUGCCCCCGUUGUCUCUCUCUCCUCGACUCCGAUUCUAAAAAUGGUGAAUGGACAAUUACUUCUGUCUUGCACGAUGCUACAGCUGUGGUAUGCUCUCUCUCUUUCUCUUUGCUUAUACCCAGAUAAGCCAGACUUCCCCCAAUUCUGAGGUCCUUUUCGUGAAUUCUCCCCCGUUUUCUCGCCGCGGUUUCUUCCCCAGGUAACUCCCAUUUCGACGCUUUUUUCUGAAUCCCCCCUUUUUUGUUCUAAGUUUUCUCUAAUUCGUGGUUUUUUUGGGUUUUUUGCAAGUAAUUGUUGAAAUUGGGUGACAAUUCGUCUUGGUUUUUGUGAAAAUUUGCUCGACUCUUUCUCUCCAAGCAUCUGGCCUUCGACCUCAGCCUUCGAACUCAGCCGCCUUCGAAAUUGAGGAGUUGUAAACUUGUAAUAGGGCUAUGAGGAUCCAGGUCUGUUUCGCCAGCCUUGGACUGCUGUUUUCCGAACACAUCUUAUUACUGGUGUAACCGAACGCCUCACUCCCAAAGGUCUACACUCCGAGGAAUGCGCCUAUACUAGUGAGGAAAUUGAUGUGGUUCGUGAGCAACGGGCUAAGUGUUUUACCCGCAAGUAUUUACUAUUGGCUUGAGCGCGCUUGAUCGAGGUGGUUUAGUUGUUAUAGAACAAUCGUUUACAUUAAAAUGUAUGCGUACAUUGAAAUUGGAACGUAUAUUUGAAUGUAGUACGUGCACUUUGGUUUUGGGAUAUAUAUAUAUGUAUACAAAACACCAGUUAUUAUUUUUUAUAUUUGUUGA